GACGAACGCUGGCGGCGUGCCUAAUACAUGCAAGUCGAGCGCAGGAAGCUGACGGAACUCUUCGGAGGGAAGGCAGUGAAUGAGCGGCGGACGGGUGAGUAACACGUAAGGAACCUGCCUCAAGGAUUGGGAUAACUCCGAGAAAUCGGAGCUAAUACCGGAUAGUUCAACGGACCGCAUGGUCCCCUGAUGAAAGGCGCCCUGGCGUCACCUUGAGAUGGCCUUGCGUUGCAUUAGCUAGUUGGGGGGGGAACGGCGCACCAAGGCGACGAUGCAAAGCCGACCUGGGAGGGUGAUCGGCCACACUGGGACUGAGACACGGCCCAGACUCCUACGGGAGGCAGCAGUAGGGAAUCGUCAACAAUGGACGAAAGUCUGAUGGAGCAACGCCGCGUGAGUGAUGAAGGUUUUCGGAUCGUAAAACUCUGUUGUAAGGGAAGAACACGUACGAGAGGAAAUGCUCGUACCUUGACGGUACCUUACGAGAAAGCCACGGCUAACUACGUGCCAGCCGCCGCUGUAAGAC
rnacentral:rRNA from 1 species